rnacentral:lncRNA from 1 species
CUUUGCCCUGCUUUUCUGUCUGUUUCUUUUUGAGAAGUGCUGGCACUAAAGCUGCUGGGCUUGCUUCUCUCCUUCCCAGAAAGUACUGUGACUCCCCAGCCAAAGUUGUCCUGCUUAACCAGGGCAACAGAGUGGCUUCUUGCUUCCUCUAGCAGUGCAAAGUGGUUAGGAGUAGGGUGUGUGCAAAGACAGUGAAAAUAACUCUGAGCCAGGCCGCCAUGAGAGUGAAAUGGCAAUGAACAGGAAAGCUGAAGGAACAUUUUAUCACCUGUGAAUCAUUGUUGAAAAUCAGUGUCAAACUGGAGGAACUGGAAAUGGGACUCUUCUGCAGAAAGACCUUGACGCCCCUAAGGAGAGCAUUUCCAGAGGCACCUUGGUGUGGUGCAGAGCAGGCAAAUACAUCCAGGUAGAUGUGUGUCUGGAAAAAUAGCGCCAUGAUUGUUCACCAGCAUUUAAAAACAAAAGCCCAACUGUMCUUGCAGUGAGUGUUUCAAUAAGACUUCCACAUCUACAGCCUCACAUGACCAGCUCAUUGUGCUGUCUGUUGGUGAAGGAGCUUACCUGUACAUUACAAGGACAUCUUGGAAGCAGGAUGAUGACCUGGUGGUUUCUUCUUCUUAGCCUUUUGCUUCACUGGUGAUUUAGAGGGGAGCUGGAGGGUUGCUUUCUUGCAAAUCACUGAUCUGUUAGAUAUCUUUAGCAUGGUUCCACUGAGUCAUUUAUUGCAUAGCAGGCCUGUAUUUUAAUCUAAUGAGGGUCUUUCUAAUAACUUCCAUUACUUAAACAUUCAAAUGUGGGAAGGAGGUGAAAGUAAUUGGAUUGAAAUAAUUAAAUUAUCCAAUGAGAUUACCUUCAAAAGGUGGUGUGCUUCCUGAAUUGAUCAGUAUUGGAAGCCCUGAAACAGCAUCUGCUCUGGAAGGAGAUCAUUUGGUGUAGUGCAGGUGGCAGGGGUCUGUGGGAAGGAGGGAGGGAUGAAAAUCAUUUUGUUAUCCCAAAACACCAUAAGGAAGGCUGAUGCACAGGUCUUAGUGAGGAAAUUAAUUCUGAGACUUUGCUUGAAAAGAAGCAUUUAUGAAAUUAUUAAU